GAAUCCGUGGCUCCUACGGCUCUGCCCCCGCCCGCAGACCUUGCCCUGGCGUCCACCGUGCGAUUCCGAAUGGGUAUAGAAACAUCGAGGACGAGUGGGGAAGGGAAGAAAAGCGGGCGCUGGGAGCGUUGGGGGCUUCGAUCUGCGCUGGCGGAGCAGAGUUGCCCUGUCCAAAUCCAGUGGCCAUUCGCUACAUGGAACAC